rnacentral:tRNA from 1 species
UCCCUGACAAUCCAGUGGUUAAGAUUUUGCCUUCCACUGCAAGGGGUACAGGUUCAAUUCCUGUCCAGGGAG